UGCCUCAGGAAGUUGUCAGCGGGGAAGCGUCAAGAUGGUGAAAUUUGGACUGCAGUUUAAAGCCACCCUGGAGAACGUCACCAAUGUUAGACCAUUGGGGGACGACUUCCGCUGGUUCCUGAAGCUCAAGUGUGGAAACUGUGGAGAAAUUCCAGAUAAAUGGCAGUAUGUAACUCUGGUGGAGAGUGUGCCACUCAAGGGAGGACGAGGGAGCGCCAGCAUGGUGCAGAAGUGUAAACUCUGUUCCAGGGAAAAUUCCAUCGAUAUUCUGGGAGACACAAUCACACCUUACAAUGCCGAGAACAGCGAAACCUUCAAGACGAUGGUGCAGUUCGAGUGUCGAGGUCUGGAGCCCGUUGAUUUCCAGCCACAAGCUGGCUUCGCUGCAGAAGGAGCCGAGUCUGGAACGCCGUUUCCUGAAAUCAACCUGCUAGAAAAAGACUGGACCGACUACGACGAGAAAAUUAGUGAGUCUGUGGGGAUAUAUGAGGUCACACACCAGUUCAUCAAGUGCUGAUAUCACCAUGCAUUGAGCCUUAGAGGAACACUGCAGGAAAACUUCCUCUGCCCCAAUUCCUGGCGACGGGGAGUGCCUCGACACGGAGAUGUGAUCGGCGCUUUGGUUGAUGACGAACAUUAAGUCCCUCAAUAAAAAUGAAGGAUGAACAUUUUGAAUUGAGGUUUUCUUUGCUUUUGCUCCUGAAACAGCAAUACAAGACUGACGAUGUGUAGUAUGAGGUACUUCACAUUAUAUGCUAAGGAUGCUAAUGGAGAAUACACUUUGAAAUGUCCUCCACACAUUUUGUGUAAUUAACAGAUAAUUAUGUAUGACUCACUUCAGAGUUAAAUAAAAAGACAAGUAACGUUAAACCUUGGGAAUUAAAUUAAGACGCAACGCUACUUGACAAACAUCCAUCCCAUCCAUCCAUUUUCUUCUGUUUA